rnacentral:rRNA from 1 species
UACCAGCCCCGCGAGCGGUCGGGACUAUUAUUGGGCCUAAAGCGCCCGUAGCCGGCCCGGUGUGUCCCCUCCUAAAUCCCCGGGCUUAACCCGGGGACUGGAGGGGAUACUACCGGGCUAGGGGGCGGGAGAGGCCGAGGGUACUCCCGGGGUAGGGGCGAAAUCCUAUAAUCCCGGGAGGACCACCAGUGGCGAAGGCGCUCGGCUGGAACGCGCCCGACGGUGAGGGGCGAAAGCCGGGGGAGCGAACCGG